GCGCCCGUAGCUCAACAGGAGAGAGCAUCGGAUUUCUAAUCCGAGGGUUGGGGGUUCGAGUCCCUCCGGGCGCG
rnacentral:tRNA from 1 species